rnacentral:rRNA from 1 species
CAGUAGUCACGUAGUUUGAUCAUGGCUCAGAACGAACGCUGGCGGCGCGCUUAACACAUGCAAGUCGAACGCACACUUUCGGGUGUGAGUGGCGGACGGGUGAGUAACGCGUGGGAACCUGCCCUGAGGUUCGGGACAACCGUGGGAAACCGCGGCUAAUACCGGAUAUCUCCUACGGGAGAAAGACUUGUCGCCUUGGGAGGGGCCCGCGUCGGAUUAGCUUGUUGGUGGGGUAAUGGCCUACCAAGGCAUCGAUCCGUAGCUGGUCUGAGAGGAUGAUCAGCCACACUGGGACUGAGACACGGCCCAGACUCCUACGGGAGGCAGCAGUGGGGAAUCUUGGACAAUGGGGGCAACCCUGAUCCAGCGACGCCGCGUGGGUGACGAAGGCCUUCGGGUUGUAAAGCCCUUUUCUCGGGGAAGAUGAUGACGGUACCCGAGGAAUAAGCACCGGCUAACUCCGUG